GACGAACGCUGGCGGCGUGCUUAACACAUGCAAGUCGAACGGAAAGGCCCUGCUUUUGUGGGGUGCUCGAGUGGCGAACGGGUGAGUAACACGUGAGUAACCUGCCCUUGACUUUGGGAUAACUUCAGGAAACUGGGGCUAAUACCGGAUAGGAGCUCCUGCUGCAUGGUGGGGGUUGGAAAGUUUCGGCGGUUGGGGAUGGACUCGCGGCUUAUCAGCUUGUUGGUGGGGUAGUGGCUUACCAAGGCUUUGACGGGUAGCCGGCCUGAGAGAGUGACCGGCCACAUUGGGACUGAGAUACGGCCCAGACUCCUACGGGAGGCAGCAGUGGGGAAUAUUGCACAAUGGGCGGAAGCCUGAUGCAGCAACGCCGCGUGCGGGAUGACGGCCUUCGGGUUGUAAACCGCUUUCGGCUGUGACGAAGCGUGAGUGACGGUAAUGGGUAAAGAAGCACCGGCUAACUACGUG
rnacentral:rRNA from 1 species